rnacentral:rRNA from 1 species
UAGCUAGUUGGUGAGGUAAAGGCUUACCAAGGCGACGAUCUGUAGCGGGUCUGAGAGGAUGAUCCGCCACACUGGAACUGAGACACGGUCCAGACUCCUACGGGAGGCAGCAGUGGGGAAUUUUGGACAAUGGGGGCAACCCUGAUCCAGCCAUGCCGCGUGAGUGAAGAAGGCCUUCGGGUUGUAAAGCUCUUUCGGCCGGGAAGAAAUCGCAUGGGCCAAUACCCUGUGUGGAUGACGGUACCGGAAUAAGAAGCACCGGCUAACUACGUGCCAGCAGCCGCGGUAAUACGUAGGGUGCGAGCGUUAAUCGGAAUUACUGGGCGUAAAGCGUGCGCAGGCGGUUUUGUAAGACAGGCGUGAAAUCCCCGGGCUUAACCUGGGAACUGCGUUUGUGACUGCAAGGCUAGAGUACGGCAGAGGGGGGUGGAAUUCCACGUGUAGCAGUGAAAUGCGUAGAGAUGUGGAGGAACACCAAUGGCGAAGGCAGCCCCCUGGGUCGAUACUGACGCUCAUGCACGAAAGCGUGGGUAGCAAACAGGAUUAGAUACCCUGGUAGUCCACGCCCUAAACUAUGUCAACUAGGUGUUGGGUGGGUAAAACCAUUUAGUACCGUAGCUAACGCGUGAAGUUGACCGCCUGGGGAGUACGGCCGCAAGGUUAAAACUCAAAGGAAUUGACGGGGACCCGCACAAGCGGUGGAUGAUGUGGAUUAAUUCGAUGCAACGCGAAAAACCUUACCUACCCUUGACAUGCCAGGAACUUGCCAGAGAUGGCUUGGUGCCCGAAAGGGAGCCUGGACACAGGUGCUGCAUGGCUGUCGUCAGCUCGUGUCGUGAGAUGUUGGGUUAAGUCCCGCAACGAGCGCAACCCUUGUCGUUAAUUGCCAUCAUUUGGUUGGACACUUUAACGAGACUGCCGGUGACAAACCGGAGGAAGGUGGGGAUGACGUCAAGUCCUCAUGGCCCUUAUGGGUAGGGCUUCACACGUCAUACAAUGGUCGGUACAAAGGGUUGCCAAGCCGCGAGGCGGAGCCAAUCCCAGAAAGCCGAUCGUAGUCCGGAUUGCAGGCUGCAACUCGCCUGCAUGAAGUCGGAAUCGCUAGUAAUCGUGAUCAGCAUGUCACGGUGAAUACGUUCCCGGGUCUUGUACACACCGCCCGUCACACCAUGGGAGCGGGUUCCGCCAGAAGUAGGUAGCCUAACCGCAAGGAGGGCGCUUACCACGGCGGGGUUCGUGACUGGGGUGAAGUCGAAACAAGGUAGCCGUAGGGGAACCUGCGGCUG